CCACAACCAUAAGGCUCUCCAGAGGGUAGUGAGGUCUGCUCCACCCACAACCAUAAGGCUCUCCAGAGGGUAGUGAGGUCUGCUCCGCCCACAACCAUAAGGCUCUCCAGAGGGUAGUGAGGUCUGCUCCACCCACAACCAUAAGGCUCUCCAGAGGGUAGUGAGGUCUGCUCCGCCCACAACCAUAAGGCUCUCCAGAGGGUAGUGAGGUCUGCUCCGCCCACAACCAUAAGGCUCUCCAGAGGGUAGUGAGGUCUGCUCCGCCCACAACCAUAAGGCUCUCCAGAGGGUAGUGAGGUCUGCUCCGCCCACAACCAUAAGGCUCUCCAGAGGGUAGUGAGGUCUGCUCCGCCCACAACCAUAAGGCUCUCCAGAGGGUAGUGAGGUCUGCUCCGCCCACAACCAUAAGGCUCCCAGAGGGUAGUGAGGUCUGCUCCACCCACAACCAUAAGGCUCUCCAGAGGGUAGUGAGGUCUGCUCCGCCCACAACCAUAAGGCUCUCCAGAGGGUAGUGAGGUCUGCUCCGCCCACAACCAUAAGGCUCUCCAGAGGGUAGUGAGGUCUGCUCCGCCCACAACCAUAAGGCUCUCCAGAGGGUAGUGAGGUCUGCUCCGCCCACAACCAUAAGGCUCUCCAGAGGGUAGUGAGGUCUGCUCCGCCCACAACCAUAAGGCUCUCCAGAGGGUAGUGAGGUCUGCUCCGCCCACAACCAUAAGGCUCUCCAGAGGGUAGUGAGGUCUGCUCCGCCCACAACCAUAAGGCUCUCCAGAGGGUAGUGAGGUCUGCUCCGCCCACAACCAUAAGGCUCUCCAGAGGGUAGUGGGGUCUGCUCCACCCACAACCAUAAGGCUCCCAGAGGGUAGUGAGAUCUGCUCCACCCACAACCAUAAGGCUCUCCAGAGGGUAGUGAGGUCUGCUCCACCCACAACCAUAAGGCUCCCAGAGGAUAGUGAGGUCUGCACAACACAUCACCGGGGGCCAUCAGACUGUUAAACAGCCAUGACUAACAUUGAGUAGGUAGUUGUGAAAUUGUUAGAUUACUUGUUAGAUAUAACUACAUGGUCAGAACUAGAAGCACAAGCAUUUCGCUACACUCGCAUUAACAUCUGCUUACCAUGUGUACGUGACAAAUACAAUUUGAUUUGAUUUCUCCCUUUUUUCCCAACCCUCUACACCUUCUGUCCAUCUUCUAGUCCUUUCCUUCUCUCCCUGUCCUUUCCUUCUCUCCCUUUCCUUUCCUUCUCUCCCUUUCCGUUCCUUCUCUCCCUGUCCUUUCCUUCUCUCCCUUUCCUUUCCUUCUCUCCCUUUCCUUUCCUUCUCUCCCUGUCCUUUCCUUCUCUCCCUUUCCUUUCCUUCUCUCCCUUUCCUUUCCUUCUCUCCCUGUCCUUUCCUUCUCUCCCUUUCCUUUCCUUCUCUCCCUGUCCUUUCAUUCUCUCCCUUUCCUUUCCUUCUCUCCCUGUCCUUUCCUCCUCUCUCCUCCUCCUCUUCCCUCGAUCAAGACCAUUACACCAGUCCUCUCUCCUUAUGCUACAGCUGAAAGCAGCUCAUGUUCAAACACCCCUAGGACAUCCUCCUUUAAACCACACACUGCCCCUCUCUCUCUCUCUCACUCCUAGAACAUCCUCCUUUAAACCACACACACUGCCCCUCUCUCUCUCUCUCUCUCUCUCUCUCACUCCUAGGACAUCUUACUUGAAACCACACACACUCCCCCUCUCUAUCUCUCACUCCUAGAACAUCCUCCUUUAAACCACACACUCCCCCCUCUCUCUCUCUGUCCUAGAACAUCCUCCUUUAAACCACACACUCCCCCUCUCUCUCUCUCUCUCUCACUCCUAGGACAUCUUCCUGUAAACCACACUCUCUCUCUCUCACUCCUAGGACAUCUUCCUGUAAACCACACUCUCUCUCUCUCACUCCUAGGACAUCUUACUUGAAACCACACACACUCCCUCUCUAUCUCUCACUCCUAGGACAUCUUCCUGUAAACCACACACUCCCCUCUCUCUCUCUCACUCCUAGGACAUCUUACUUCAAACCACACACUCCCCCUCUCUCUCUCACUCCUAGGACAUCUUCCUGUAAACCACAUACUCUCCCUCUCUCUCUCUCACUCCUAGGACAUCUUACAUUAAACCACACACACUCCCCCCCUCUCUCUCUCCCUCUCACUCCUAGGACAUCUUCCUGUAAACCACACACACUCCCCCUCUUUCUCUCUCUCUCUCACUCCUAGGAUAUCUUCCUGUAAACCACACACACUCCCCCUCUCACUCCUAGGACAUCUUCCUGUAAACCACACACACUCCUCCUCUCUCUCUCUCACUCCUAGGACAUCUUCCUGUAAACCACACACACUCCUCCUCUCUCUCUCACACUCCUAGGACAUCUUCCUGUAAACCACACACACUCCUCCUCUCUCACUCUCACUCCUAGGACAUCUUCAUGUAAACCACACUCUCUCUCUCACUCCUCGGACAUCUUCCUGUAAACCACACACUCUCCCUCUCUCUCUCACCCCUAGGACAUCUUACU